CCCCGUGCAUGAGUGGCGGACGGGUGAGUAACGCGUGGGCAACCUGGCCCUGUACAGGGGACAACACUUAGAAAUAGGUGCUAAUACCGCAUAACGGGGGGAGCCGCAUGGCACCCCCCUGAAAACUCCGGUGGUACAGGAUGGGCCCGCGUCUGAUUAGCUGGUCGGCAGGGUAACGGCCUACCAAGGCGACGAUCAGUAGCCGGCCUGAGAGGGCCGGACGGCCACACUGGGACUGAGACACGGCCCAGACUCCUACGGAAGGCAGCAG
rnacentral:rRNA from 1 species